rnacentral:sRNA from 1 species
AUUCAGGUCAACUACUAACAAUCCUAAUUGUGCGACCCACUAGUUAAUUUCGGA